rnacentral:rRNA from 1 species
AACGAACGCUGGCGGCAUGCCUAACACAUGCAAGUCGAACGAGACCUUCGGGUCUAGUGGCGCACGGGUGCGUAACGCGUGGGAACCUGCCCUUAGGUUCGGAAUAACUCCCCGAAAGGGGUGCUAAUACCGGAUAAUGUCUUCGGACCAAAGAUUUAUCGCCUUUGGAUGGGCCCGCGUUGGAUUAGCUAGUUGGUAGGGUAAAAGCCUACCAAGGCGACGAUCCAUAGCUGGUCUGAGAGGAUGAUCAGCCACACUGGGACUGAGACACGGCCCAGACUCCUACGGGAGGCAGCAGUGGGGAAUAUUGGACAAUGGGCGAAAGCAUGAUCCAGCAAUGCCGCGUGAGUGAUGAAGGCCUUAGGGUUGUAAAGCGCUUUUACCCGGGAUGAUAAUGACAGUACCGGGAGAAUAAGCUCCGGCUAACUCCGUG